rnacentral:rRNA from 1 species
GAUGAACGCUGGCGGCGUGCUUAACACAUGCAAGUCGAACGGAAAGGCCCAAGCUUGCUUGGGUACUCGAGUGGCGAACGGGUGAGUAACACGUGGGUGAUCUGCCCUGCACUUCGGGAUAAGCCUGGGAAACUGGGUCUAAUACCGGAUAGGACCACUUCUUGGAUGUUGUGGUGGAAAGUUUUUUCGGUGUGGGAUGAGCUCGCGGCCUAUCAGCUUGUUGGUGGGGUAAUGGCCUACCAAGGCGUCGACGGGUAGCCGGCCUGAGAGGGUGUACGGCCACAUUGGGACUGAGAUACGGCCCAGACUCCUACGGGAGGCAGCAGUGGGGAAUAUUGCACAAUGGGCGCAAGCCUGAUGCAGCGACGCCGCGUGGGGGAUGACGGCCUUCGGGUUGUAAACUCCUUUCGCUAGGGACGAAGCGUUUUGUGGCGGUACCUGGAGAAGAAGCACCGGCUAACUACGUG